UAUGUUUAGCUUAUCAGCGUGAUCCACAACACGGAGGUUAUAUGUUCGAACUCCAGCUGAGCAGCUUCCUUCGCCUUUGCAAUGAUGCUUAGCAACUGGCAACUUGGCAAUUGUCUCGAGGAGUCAAGUCCAGAGCAUGCUUGGCAAUGUGAUACCUUCAGAGCAUGCAUUUAUCAUCAAGAGCAAGAACUUUAUAAAGGUGAUGUACAAUUUACAGGAAAAUGCGGAUAAUUUUAUGGUCAC